rnacentral:lncRNA from 1 species
AGUCAUUCAGUGACAAGCCAGCGGAAGUGUUUAAAACUGUUUGAGUACAGACAGGUGCAACUAGAAGGCACAUGGCCUGACUAUACUACAGACCCAACCUAGGGCCAGAUCGUAGCUGGGACACCAGCUACUCGUCGUCGUCGAUGUCUAUGAAGAACCCUCCAUUAGGGUCAUUAGCAACCUCUGCAACAUUUAUUAAGCAAACAUGAGUACGGAGGUACUCAGCAAGACUUUAGGAAAACUAUCUACUCAUGCAAUGUAUCAAUAAGGUAUUGUGGGGUUUCA